rnacentral:rRNA from 1 species
GAUGAACGCUGGCGGCGUGCCUAAUACAUGCAAGUCGAGCGAACGGACGAGAAGCUUGCUUCUCUGAUGUUAGCGGCGGACGGGUGAGUAACACGUGGAUAACCUACCUAUAAGACUGGGAUAACUUCGGGAAACCGGAGCUAAUACCGGAUAAUAUUUUGAACCGCAUGGUUCAAAAGUGAAAGACGGUCUUGCUGUCACUUAUAGAUGGAUCCGCGCUGCAUUAGCUAGUUGGUAAGGUAACGGCUUACCAAGGCAACGAUGCAUAGCCGACCUGAGAGGGUGAUCGGCCACACUGGAACUGAGACACGGUCCAGACUCCUACGGGAGGCAGCAGUAGGGAAUCUUCCGCAAUGGGCGAAAGCCUGACGGAGCAACGCCGCGUGAGUGAUGAAGGUCUUCGGAUCGUAAAACUCUGUUAUUAGGGAAGAACAUAUGUGUAAGUAACUGUGCAUAUCUUGACGGUACCUAAUCAGAAAGCCACGGCUAACUACGUGCCAGCAGCCGCGGUAAUACGUAGGUGGCAAGCGUUAUCCGGAAUUAUUGGGCGUAAAGCGCGCGUAGGCGGUUUUUUAAGUCUGAUGUGAAAGCCCACGGCUCAACCGUGGAGGGUCAUUGGAAACUGGAAAACUUGAGUGCAGAAGAGGAAAGUGGAAUUCCAUGUGUAGCGGUGAAAUGCGCAGAGAUAUGGAGGAACACCAGUGGCGAAGGCGACUUUCUGGUCUGUAACUGACGCCGAUGUGCGAAAGCGUGGGGAUCAAACAGGAUUAGAUACCCUGGUAGUCCACGCCGUAAACGAUGAGUGCUAAGUGUUAGGGGGUUUCCGCCCCUUAGUGCUGCAGCUAACGCAUUAAGCACUCCGCCUGGGGAGUACGACCGCAAGGUUGAAACUCAAAGGAAUUGACGGGGACCCGCACAAGCGGUGGAGCAUGUGGUUUAAUUCGAAGCAACGCGAAGAACCUUACCAAAUCUUGACAUCCUUUGACAACUCUAGAGAUAGAGCUUUCCCCUUCGGGGGACAAAGUGACAGGUGGUGCAUGGUUGUCGUCAGCUCGUGUCGUGAGAUGUUGGGUUAAGUCCCGCAACGAGCGCAACCCUUAAGCUUAGUUGCCAUCAUUAAGUUGGGCACUCUAAGUUGACUGCCGGUGACAAACCGGAGGAAGGUGGGGAUGACGUCAAAUCAUCAUGCCCCUUAUGAUUUGGGCUACACACGUGCUACAAUGGACAAUACAAAGGGCAGCGAAACCGCGAGGUCAAGCAAAUCCCAUAAAGUUGUUCUCAGUUCGGAUUGUAGUCUGCAACUCGACUACAUGAAGCUGGAAUCGCUAGUAAUCGUAGAUCAGCAUGCUACGGUGAAUACGUUCCCGGGUCU